GCAAGUCGAGCGACAAGGAACUUCGGUUCUGGAGGAGCGGCGCACGGGUGAGUAACAUGUGGGAACGUACCUUAAGGUUCGGGACAACCAUUGGAAACGAUGGCUAAUACCGGAUGUGCCCUACGGGGGAAAGAUUUAUCGCCUUAAGAUCGGCCCGCAUUAGAUUAGGUAGUUGGUGAGGUAACGGCUCACCAAGCCUACGAUCUAUAGCUGGUCUGAGAGGAUGAUC
rnacentral:rRNA from 1 species